AGAAUCUGUAGUUUAGAUAGAAUGUAUGAUUGUUACUCAUAAGGGUGUUGGUUCU
rnacentral:tRNA from 1 species